GGUGAACGCUAGCGGGAGGCCUAACACAUGCAAGCCGAGCGGUAUUGUUUCUUCGGAAAUGAGAGAGCGGCGUACGGGUGCGGAACACGUGUGCAACCUGCCUUUAUCUGGGGGAUAGCCUUUCGAAAGGAAGAUUAAUACUCCAUAACAUACUGAUUGGCAUCAAUUAAUAUUGAAAGCUCCGGCGGAUAGAGAUGGGCACGCGCAAGAUUAGCUAGUUGGUGAGGUAACGGCUCACCAAGGCGAUGAUCUUUAGGGGGCCUGAGAGGGUGAUCCCCCACACUGGUACUGAGACACGGACCAGACUCCUACGGGAGGCAGCAGUGAGGAAUAUUGGUCAAUGGGUGCAAGCCUGAACCAGCCAUCCCGCGUGAAGGACGACUGCCCUAUGGGUUGUAAACUUCUUUUGUAUAGGGAUAAACCUACCCUCGUGAGGGUAGCUGAAGGUACUAUACGAAUAAGCACCGGCUAACUCCGUGCCAGCAGCCGCAGUAAUAC
rnacentral:rRNA from 1 species